rnacentral:lncRNA from 1 species
UUUAACUUUGCACAAAUACAUAGAUAUAAUUUAAGUGGAUAGUUAAGUUCCAUCUCUAGCCUCCAGGCUAGAUAGAGGUGGUUUAGCGAAGACCAUUUUGAAAACAUUACAAACUUUUCCGGUUAUAAUUUCGUAAUUUAAAAUAUGAAUUUCACUUUAAUUGAAACUUUCUGCAUAAAAGAUUGGUUUUUAUUUGUGCUGUCUCAUAAUUUCUUAUGCAUUAAGAUACUUUUCCCCCUUUGUACCGUGCAAGGAGUUGGAAUUGGCACCAAAGUAUUAGUUUGUACUUUAUCAGCAUUAGUUAUUCCCAAAGAUGGUGGCAAAAUUCUUAGGAUCUCAUAGUUAUUUUAUUUAGUAAUUUUAUUUAUUUUCAUUAUACCUUUCUAAGACUUUUUCUACAAAUUCAAACAUGAAAUACAUCCUUUGUUUAAUUUUGUAGCUCCAUUUUUGCCUUCAAAAAUAGGAUAGCCAUAGGUAUGUUCUUCUUGGAGCUUACUUAUUCUCUAGGUAAUUUCAAAUUGGUCUGCUUAUAAAUGUUAAAAGAUCCUUUCAAAUUCUUCUUCAGCAAGUUGCCUCCACUAAAAAAAGUGUCUUUGGACGUGUGUAUUUUAUAAAACAACUGCUUCAGUCUAAAACCUUUCUUGGAUUUACAUAUCUUGGAUUGACUCAUUUUUAAAUAGCAUAUUUGCUGCUGUCGAAUUACUUUACAGAGCCUCUUUAAAUUCAUAUUGGAUGCAGGUCUUCAUCAAGGAGAAAGUGGAAAGACACCAACUUGCCGUGAAGCAUACAGCAAGCUUAGAUGUAAAUGCAUCUAUAUCGAAUGGGGCAAAGCAAGAAAAGAGGACUCUGUGGGAGUGCAUUGGAAUUGGAGGUAUCAGUAUGAAUUCAUGAUUUCUAAUACAAUAGGAAUCCUUUUGCCAUGAAAGACAAAGACAGGCUGAAGAGCUAUACUAUAUUUAAGGAGACUAAAGUAGCAUGAAGACUAAAUGCAAUAUGUGAUCUUGAAGUGGAUCUGUACUGAAGAAAAGAUAUGCUACAAAUGACAUUACUGGGUAAUUUGACAAAUCUGGAAUACAGAUGAUACGUCAAAGUACUGCAUCAUUGUUAAAUCUCCUGAAGUUGCUAACCCUACUGUGAUUAUUUAGUGGAAUCUUUUUUUUAGGAAAUACACUUUCAAUUAUUUAGAGAUAAUGGGGCAUGACAUGCUACUUACUCUCAAGGGGUUCAGAAAAAUAAUUUGUAUAUAUUACACAUGCAUGUGCAUGUGUGUUUAUGCACACACUACUCACUGUAAAUGCACAUGAUAAAGUAAAUAGGGCAAAAGGUUAACAAUUGUGAAUCUGCAUAAAGGGUGUACAGAGUUUCUUUAUGGUCUUCUUGCAACUCUUCCUUAAGCAUGAAAUCCUUCCAAAUAAAAGAUUUCUAAAAGGUUGGUGUUAGGCAUGCACAAAAAAAUUAAGGGUAAUAGAGUAGACUUUUGAAAGCAGGGGGUAAUGAUAACAUCAAAUAUUUUGAAGGACUGUCAUGUGGAAGGAGGAUUAAGACUUAUAAUUUGGCUAAUCUUAUUUGGUGUCAUUCUGCUUUGUGUAAUAUCAUCACAGCAUAUCCAAGUGCUCAUGGCUGAAAUGAGAUACAGGCGUUUUUAAGUUUUAUGGAGUCUUCAGUAUAAUUCAGUACAGAGAGGUGCAAAAUCAUGUGAUUCUGAGGGUUCAUUGGGUAGCAUACACGAAUGAAGGGGACUGGGUGCAGAAAAUGGAAAAUAGUGGGAACUUGAGAGCAAUGUCUUUUCCAAGGCUUUCAAAUGCAACUAAAGACAAACUCAAAAUACUAUGCAGUAAUCCCGGGCUGUGUCCAGCCUGUGAGUGGCCAGCUGGGACCCACAAUCUUAUCUAAUCCUUUUUGUCAGGUGAGGAAACAGGUACCAAACAUCAUAAAACAGUGUCAGUGAAUGAAAGGUGUAAAUGGGUGCAAAUGUAUUUUUAAAAAAACACCACUUUUAAUGAAAGAAACUAAUAUCCACACAUUUGUACUUAUGUACAAUUGGGGUAAUAUAUAAUUUUAAGCUGUUUACAAAUAAUAUGUAAUGCUUCAAAUAUUACAUAAGGUUGAUAAUAUAUUUCUAGCAGAAAUAAAUAUAUUGCACUUAAAAAGAACUGCAUUAGAUGUUACUUCAUAGUAUUAGGCUUAUAACUUUUUUUCAUAAAACAUUUCCCAUGCCCUUCCCCCCACCCCCAGCACACAUAUUUCAUUACAGUGACUGUUCUCACGCAAUUCAUUAAGCAAAUGAACACAGCAAACAACAGAACUGUGAUAGUGUCUACUAAAGAGGCUAUAUCCAAUUUUAUCCUUUAGGAAAUAAAACAAUUUCUUUUAUGUUUCUGAAAAUAAAGGAGGAAAAAAUCCAACUAAACACAAUAUUUUAAUGAACCAGAAGUAAAAUACAACUUGUAUUUUUUGUCCAUAUGUAUUAUUUCACAAAAAAAUGAUUUUGUUUUCUUAUUAUCAAGAUAUUUCGUUUAAAAAGGAGAGGGUAAUGAAGUUAUUUGAGGGAGGGACAGAGAAAGACGGGCUAGAAAAUACAUAUGGAAUAUUUACCUAUCAAAUAUUUAUAAAUAAACCUUUCCAUAUGUAAGCAUUCUGAAGAAAGGUAAGUCUUGGAAUAUUAUAAUUGGCAUAGAAUAUAAGUAGCAAAGAAAGGAUUUAUGGUUUUUUAAAGUUUAAGGAGUUUGUAACCUUCCCUUUGCAUGUUUACAAAAAAAUCUGUACAUUGGCACAGCUCUUUAAAGGAGAAAGCUGAAAAUCUUAUCAUCUGUCCAGUGAUUUGUCUAGAUUUAGGGUAGAGUAUUGCUUUGUUUGUAAUAAUUAUCAAUUUCCUACAUGUUUAAUAGUGACAACAGUUUUUCUUACUUAGUCACUGGAAGAUUAAGUUGUUUUUCUUGCAAUUUGUUACUCUGCACAUUACAUAACUGGAUUUUUUGAACUUUUUAGUUACUGAGUCAUGGCUAAGCUUGACUGAGUAUUUAAUGGGGUGUAAAGUCAUUUCAUCCUCUUUAUUCAAAAGUGAUUUUUCUCAAUAUAAAUCAGCUUAUAUAUAAGCAGGACAGCCUGAAAAGCUACUGUGAAAUACAGAAAUAGGAUAAAUAUCCUAACACCUCUUUGAAAAAGGCAGCAUGGGAUGAAGAUAAUUUACUUCUAAGAAUAUUUAUUCCUUUGCCUUUUAGAGGGUCUUCUUUUUUGGUGGGGAGGGAGCAGUUGGAGAGGAAAGUGUGUUGUCGUGGCUGGAGAAGCAAAAUGACAGAGAUAUGGAUAAGAGGGGAGACCUUUGAAUGCCCCAGAAGUCAAUGUAACUCCUAUAAUAAAGCCCUACACAGGGCCUUCGCUAGAUGAUGACUCAUCAGGAAGCUUCUUAAUAUCUCUUACUCUGUGCCCACCUACUAGGAAUGAUGAUAGGCCUUCUGGACAAGUUACCAUUGUUAUUAACUCAAAAGAUCCAGCAAUACAAUAUAAGCUCAUUAAUCUACACCUUGUUAACUAAUAAUCUGUGAUGUGUUAGACAAGCUGGAUAUGUUUACCUAUAUAUUGCUAAGGGUAGACAGAGGAGAGGAGAAGACUAAGUUAGUAAAAAAAAAAAAAAAAAAAAAAAAAAAAUUGAGGCCGG